AGAAAAUUCCCAGGCUAGGGGUCCAAUCGGAGCUACAGCUGCCAGCCUACACCACAGCCACAGCAACUCGGGAUCUGAGCCACAUCUGCAACCUACACCUCAGCUCAGCUCAGCAAGGCCAGAUCCUUAACCCACUGAGCAAGACCAGGGAUCAAACCCGCAUCCUCAUGGAUCCUAGUCGGGUUUGUUAACUCCUGAGCCAUGAAGGGAACUCCCUGACAUGUAGAUGUCCUUCCAAGCUGAACAGUUAAACAAAAUGUGGUUAUAUAGCAUGGAAUAUGACUCAGGAAUUAAAAAAACUAUGGAUAUACACAACAACCCGGAUGACUCUCCAGAGGAUUAUGCCAAGUGAAAAAAGGGCAAUCCCAAAAGUGCACGCACUGCAUUUUUCCAUUUAUAGAACAUUUUUGAAAUGAAAACGUUAUAGAAAUAGAGAAUAGAUUAGUGGUUGCCAGGAACUGCCAGAGAGGGGAGAGCUGAAGGAAAGGGGAUGUGAUUAUAAAAGGGCAACGUGAUAAAUCCUUUUUGUAAUGGAGGUGUUCUGUGCUUUGAUUGCAGCACUGUCCAUAUCCUGGUACCAUAGUUUUGCAAGAUGCUACAACUGAAGGAAAUUGGAUAAAGGGUAUAUGGCAUCCCUCAGUAUUAUUUCUUACAAUUGUAUGUGAAUCUACAAUUAUGUCAAAAUAAAAGGUUUACUAAAAAAUAUUUUUUCAAUAAAAAGAGUGAGGCCAUGCCUAUAAUUAUUCAUUGAGAAGUUAGAUGGCAAGAAAGGGAAGGGGUGUUUUGCAGUGCAAGAGUAGAAUUUGAAAUGGUUGUUUAUAACCAGCAUAAACUCACCCUUCUGCUUCACUGUCAGGCCACACAAAAACUCAUUUUCAUGGGGUUAAAGUAAGAAUACUCAAGGACAUGAACAAGAAAAUUAUCCACUUUCUGUCUGGUCAGUUAUUCUUCUUUCUCAAGAGAUCAAAUCUGUUGUCAGCAAUCACUAGAGCCCUAAGUUCUUCCAUCUCAACAUCCAUGGGUGCCAUUUGGGAGUUUUGAGACUCAUAUGGAAGAAAAGGUAAGAAAAGGAGAAGAAAAAAGGCGAAUGAAAGAUGGAAGGAAUAAGGGAAAGGGGGAAAGGAGAAAAGGGAAAAAAAGGGGCUUUAUAAAAACAAAACAAAUUUAUAUUGGAGGGAUUGGCUGACACUACCUGAACCAAUCAAUCUUAACAUCACUAAAAGCGACAUAUCCCAACACUGUAUGCCCUGGAAUGUGAUGCAAUUUAGGAGGCACAUGGUACCACCUGAAUCUAAUAAAGUCUUUGGCUCUAACUACCACAUUACAGGAAACACAAGGGAUAGAAAAACAGAUGACUGCAGACCCACACUACAAGGGAACAGACAGCCAAAUCCAGAAUACAGGAUAUUCUAGGGGAUGACUGACAUAGUGACUUAGGUAGAGUUCUUUUGGAAACAGAUGCUGAGACAGAAAAUCAUGUGCAAGAGAUUUAUUAGAGUGUGGUCUCAGGAAAAUCCCUAGAAAAAAUAGAGGCAAACAGGAGUGGGCAGAGAGAAGUUAAACUGCAACUCAGUUGCAAUGGAGAACUUCCAGAUUUCUCAGAGAGCUCUAUCCCUUCAGAGAGAGAGAGGUAAAAAAGCAAUGCAUUUGUAUGCUUGCAAUGACUUUGUUCAUGCCUGCUAUGUGAGAAAAAGGGGCCAGUGCACAGAAGAGUGGGCCACCUGCUCAUGAAGUUACUUGUAUCCACUCAUCUGUUCAUUCCCAAUCCCAGAUACACUGUUCCAAAUUUACCAUGGGUUG
ensembl:lncRNA